UCCAUGUGAACAUCACUUGGACAUGGGUUAGUCGAUCCUAAGAGAUGGGGAAUCCUUGUAUCAAGGGUGCACUCUGCAUGAACAUUGAAAGAGAAUUGGGUUAAUAUUUCCGAACAGGGACAUGGUGGUGGAUGACAAUGUUAGGAAAUCUGGAGAUGUCAUUGGGGGCUUGGGAAGAGUUAUCUUUUAUUUUUAAUGACUUUACCACCCUGAAAUUGGUUCAACCAGAGAUAGGGUCCAACAUCUAGAAGAGCACCACAUGUCUUGCAGUGUUUGGUGCCCCCUCGGUGGCCAUUAAAAAUAUGGAGAACUGAGUACCAUCCAUGCCCGAUCGUACUCAUAUCUGCCUCAGAUUU
rnacentral:ncRNA from 1 species